UACAGAGGGGGCAAGCGUUGUUCGGAAUUACUGGGCGUAAAGGGCGCGUAGGCGGCCUUCUAAGUCGAACUGGAAAUCCCCGGGCUCAACCCGGGAACUGCGUCCGAUACUGGAAGGCUUGAAUCCGGGAGAGGGAUGCGGAAUUCCAGGUGUAGCGGUGAAAUGCGUAGAUAUCGGGAGGAACACCAGUGGCGAAGGCGGCGAUCUGGGAAGAUACUGACGCUGAGGUGCGAAAGCGUGGGGAGCAAACAGG
rnacentral:rRNA from 1 species